AUUCUGCGAGGCGGCUUACGCCUCCCAUUCUUAGACCCCACUUGUCAGGCUAGACGGCUCCAGCAUAAGGUAUGCGAAACAGGUGAAGUACCUGGGUGUGACCGUUGGUGAACGGUUGCACUUCGCACCACACCUUGCCAAUCUGAAGGACCGACUGGUCAGUAUGGUUGGAAAAUUGCGCCGAGUUUGAGAAGCGAAUGGGGCCUCAGCAGGAGAGCUGUUCGCACCAUAUAUAGUGGUCUUUUUGUUGCUUGCGCAGCAAGCGGAUCACCUGUGUGGGGCGGCACAGCCUUGACUGUUUGGGGCAGAACGAAACUUUGUAGAGUGCAGAGAGUUAUUUGUUGGGGUGCAUGCCUGUGUGUCGCACUGUCUCUACGGAAGCACUGCAAGUCCUGUUUGGAGCAGUUCCCCUUGACUUGGAGAUACGGCGUAGAGCCGUAAGCUACAAGCUCAAGAAGGGGCUGCCAUUACUGCAGAAUGAGUGGCUGUAUCGUGAAAUGUCUGGGGGAACGUGGAGAGAUUAGGGCCAAGUGAAUGGAAGUCUAUGUUGCAUGAGUGUGUCCUGUCGGACUGGCAAGCCCGAUGGGAUGAUAGUGAGAAUGGGCGGGUCACUCACGAGUUCAUUCCAGAUGUCUCGUUUGUUGCCGACCGACCGGACUUUGGUUUUAACCUCAGUUCCGGGUUCCUGUUGACUGGCCAUGGAUCGUUGAAUGCAUUCUUGCAUAGCCGAUUCCUGGCAGACAGUCCGGAAUGCCAGUGUGGCUCGGGAGACGAGACCUGGAAACAUGUUCUCUGUGAGUGUCCGUUGUAUGAUGAUCUUCGGGAUCUGGGCGGGUUGGGUGUGAUUCAGGCUGGGGGGGACUUUGACUUUAGUCAAGUGCUUUCCACGAGCGAUAGGGUUGAUAGGUUGAAUGUGUUUGCGAGAGCCGUAUUCAGUCGUCGACGAAUGCGUUGAUUUGUAGAUGCCGGGAUGUUAGGGGGUGAAUGGUACGUGAAUCUGGGUCGAGUGAAUAGGUGUGGUAAGGUUCGCCGGGCUUCGCCCGCCGCCGGGGUGACCAGUCCCCGAGCUUCAUGGUAGCUGAAACUGGGAGUGCUUCUUUAGUUGCACGAACCUGACCAGAGGAUUUUUCUGGUACCACGGGUGAUGAGGAUAAACGAGAUGGUGCUCAAGAUCCGCCUUGUCACAAGCCCUUUGGGGUUGUUGGGAACAUAGCUGACCGCCUUCGAGCGGUCUGGUCACUGACCAGCAGCGAUUGCCGCGGUUUGCGGAAAGAGGAAGGAUAGUCCUCGCCUCCGAACAGUGAGAAAGCCAUGUCCAUGAACAUGGUGGAUAAAACUGUAACACCUUAUGAUUUGGCCUUGGCCAUCUCAUAAUCUAUUCCGAGCAGCUAUGCACUUUUUAUCCGGGGCCACCGACCCGUGACUGUUCUGGAGUCAAAAUCGGUAGUGUCCUUGUUGGCACGGCGCCUGACCGGAGGCUGUGAUAAUUUCUGGUACCACGGGAGCCAGCGCCCACGGAACUUGUUCCGUCCUGGCUAUGGUUGAGGCCCCUUAGGGAGCUACGUGGUGGUUGUGGUUUGUCACCCAAAUGCGGGUAGAGCCUUCGGCUCGACGUGGAGUUGCGUUAUACAACCGGGUGCGUGAUCCCACAGAUCGGAAGAGGUUUAGAUAGGCCUCCAUCCUUAACCGAGGAUUAAGUCAUGACCUGAACAGAUUGACUGACAUUCGGUAUCCGGCGGAACAUGGUUCCAAAGGGGCGCUGAUUGACGCAUUGUUUCAUAUCCCAAGCCCGAUGGGGCCGUGAGAUUAAGCCAUCGUGGCAGGUGCUCACGUUAAACCAUUCCGACUUUCAUGUCCCUAUCUACUAUCUAGCGAAACCACAGCCAAGGGAACGGGCUUGGAAUAAUUAGCGGGGAAAGAAGACCCUUUUGAGCUUGACUCUAAUCUGGCAGUGUAAGGAGACAUAAGAGGUGUAGAAUAAGUGGGAGAUAUUAGACUUCGGUUUGGUAUCGACAAUGAAAUACCACUACUCUUAUUGUUUCCUUACUUACUUGAUUAAAUGGAACGUGUAUCAUUUCCUAGCCAUUAUACGGAUAUAUUUAUUAUAUCUUAUGGUAUUGGGUUUUGAUGCAAGCUUCUUGAUCAAAGUAUCACGAGUUUGUUAUAUAAUCGCAAACAAAUUCUUUAAUGAGACGAUGCAUUUAUGUAUUUUUGAUUUGAAAAUUUGGUAUAACUCCAAUUACUCAGGUAUGAUCCAAUUCAAGGACAUUGCCAGGUAGGGAGUUUGACUGGGGCGGUACAUCUCUCAAAUAAUAACGGAGGUGUCCCAAGGCCAGCUCAGUGCGGACAGAAACCACACAUAGAGCAAAAGGGCAAAUGCUGACUUGAUCUCGGUGUUCAGUACACACAGGGACAGCAAAAGCUCGGCCUAUCGAUCCUUUUGGUUUAAAGAGUUUUUAACAAGAGGUGUCAGAAAAGUUACCAUAGGGAUAACUGGCUUGUGGCGGCCAAGCGUUCAUAGCGACGUCGCUUUUUGAUCCUUCGAUGUCGGCUCUUCCUAUCAUUGUGAAGCAAAAUUCACCAAGCGUUGGAUUGUUCACCCAUGCAAGGGAACGUGAGCUGGGUUUAGACCGUCGUGAGACAGGUUAGUUUUACCCUACUAAUGACAAAACGUUGUUGCGACAGCAUUCCUGCGUAGUACGAGAGGAACCGCAGGUACGGACCAAUGGCACAAUACUUGUUCGAGCGAACAGUGGUAUGACGCUACGUCCGUUGGAUUAUGCCUGAACGCCUCUAAGGUCGUAUCCGUGCUGGACUGCAAUGAUAAAUAAGGGGCAAUUUGCAUUGUAUGGCUUCUAAACCAUUUAAAGUUUGUAAUUCAUUUUAUAAACGACAAUGGAUGUGAUGCCAAUGUAAUUUGUAACAUAGUAAAUUGGGAGGAUCUUUGAUCACCUGGUGCCGCGCUAGUUACAUAUAAAAGCAUUAUUU
rnacentral:rRNA from 1 species